CAACAUCUAGUAACAAAAAACAUAUCAGUGGUUGUUGCUUGGGGAUGGGAAGGGAGAUGUGGAUUACCAAGAGAUACAAAGAAACUUUGGGAGGCAAUGGAUGUGUUUAUGACCGUAUCUGUGGUGAUGCUUUCAUCGAUAAAUAUAUAUAUACAUAUGUCAAAACUCAUUGAACUGCACUUCAAAAACUCAUGAAUUGGUGCAGGUUCAAUCCCUGGUCAGGAAGCUAAGAUCCUGCAUCCACCAUGGCCAAAAAAUCCAAAACAUAACAGAAGCAAUAGUGUAACAAAUUCAGUAAAGACUUUAAAAAUGGUCCACAUGAAGAAAUCUUUAAAAACAAGAGUCCCAGGCUUCUCAAACUCAGGGCAGUUGGAAACCACUGGUACCAAUUGGCUGAUAGCUAAGGAAAGAGACUUCCCUCAUCUUGACCAAAUCAUCAAGUGAAGCCAAAUGAAACCAUGACUAUCAACAUCCCAGGGAUAAACAAACCGAUGAUUUCCUAGUGUUUUACAUAAAUGCACGAUCCUUAAUCAGUAUAUGAUACAUGAGUGUCCCGCAAGGUUCUCAGCCUCUCACCAUUUUCUAUCAUUGGAUUAAUUGGGAUGAAAUCUGACAGGUGAUAAAGGCUCACCAUAGAAUCCACAUUAUUGCAAUUAUCCAAUCACGACCCUGUCUCCUAUAAAAGAAAUGCAAUGCUGUGCUCAAGGUUUCAUCUUGAGAUGUGUUUGCCUGUUCGUUGUUUGCCUGUUUGUUAUUAAGGAGAUUCAUUUAAUCAGAUAAGAUUCGUCAUGAUCCCAGCUACUCAAGCUCAUGGUCAGUGGACCUGGUUUCAAAGAAUAAAGCAAGAAUUCUGCAAGCCCAUCUGUUGGUUCCGUAUUGGAUUAAUAAUUAUGCUCCUCAAAAUUGCUGUGGUAGCCUUCUUCGGUAAUCAUUUACCUUUCUCCCUCUCAGUGACAAUAAUUGCUUCUGGCAUCGUUUUAUUCCUCAUUUCUGGAGGGAUACUCUUGUAUGGAUUAUGCCAAAACUCAGACUACACCUCUCUUGAACCAGAAGAAUUAGUGAGGUAUCAUCGAACUGCCCACAGUCAUCCUGAAGGUUUUGAAACAGAGGCAGCAACUAUCAGCACCUCGCUAUGAUGUAUAUUAAACCCAGAUAUCACUGGGUCUUUUAACCUUCUGAAAGUUCCUUGAGUAUAAUUAAAGUAGAAAUAAACUCUGACCUCUAAAAA